GGGGCCUAGCCAAGCUGAGCUGACCAAGAGAACCCAGCUCAAAGUGAUAGAACCAGAGUUGCAAUUCAGGUGUGACCCCCUAGUCUAUGCCCCUAAGUGCUCUACCAUAGGGCCCAUAUCUUGCUCUGAAUUAGCAGAGGAGCUUAGCCCAGCCCUCUUGCUGGGUCCAUCCCAGGCUGUCUGCCUGGCUCUGAAAUCUCCAGGUAACUUCCUGUUCCUGGGGUUUAGCACUUGGACUAAACAUGACACCCCAGAUUUCCUUUGCGGGGGGUGUUUGUUUGCUUAUUAGUGGGUUUCCUGACACAUACAGCCCAGGAAAACUGGGGAGGGGGCAGUGGAAGAGCACAGGUCAUCUUCACAGGCAGAAGAAUGAUUCUUUUUUAAGCUGUUUACUGCUUACCUCCCUUUACUCCUGAAAUCAGAAAGAAGAGGAACGCUAGAGUCAGCAGGGCUCAGAAGCCAUACUUAAUUUGUGGUCCAACUGGGUCAGGGGGAGUGACCCUGUGCAGUGGCCUUUUUUUUCCCCAGGGACAUGUGUGCCUCUGCUCACUAGAGCAGAGUUCCAGGCCGACGGGGGGGAGGGGUGACAGCCACCCCCUCCCUGCCAGGGGAGUUAGGUCUCCUGCGAAGCACAUGUCUGCUCUAUUCAGUCCCUUCGUCCCUGGCCCUCUGGCUGGGCUCCUGCUGGUGUUAAGUUGCCCCAAAUACCCAGUCUCUUAUUUCACAUCCUCAGGCAAAGAUCCCACAGCCAAGGUGCCCUUUCAGCUUAGCUUUCCCAUCAGCCUCUCCGAUAAGCUCCUAAGAGGAGGGAGGAGCGGGAGUGGGGAGGUGGGUAAAACCUGCAGCAGACCCCUUUGUCCCUUUGUCAAGGGGUACAGUGGGUCCUGCAGCUCCCCAGUUUUGUGUUUGACCGGGCAAGCCCUGGGUGGUGGCUAGCUGCCUGGCCGCAGUCCUUUAUUGGCAAAUGGAACUUGACUUGGCCGAGGCACAAUUAAUUGUACGUAUGCUCAGGCUUUACGUUGGGGCGGAAAUUGAAGGCUGAAAGUUUGUAAGUGUCAAGAGACAAGGAAACUCUGUGUUCAGUGUGUGGGCUGGGAGAAUGCAGGGGUUCCUGAGCCAGGCUCUGUUUCUGCACAAUCUGCCAUGGCUGUGCCAGACUCCCUGUCCAGACCUCGCAGAGAUGGUUCAUUCCUCGGGCUGGACGCAAGUGAGACACGAGGGCUGCUAUGAGUUGGGAGGGGGAAGAAGCCAGUGGACAAAAUGUUCCCGGGCCUGGGUGGACCCAGCCACACAGCACCGACUGAGUCCCUGUGAGUAGAGAUGGAACUUUUCUCCUUUCUUUCAGCCAAUUCAGAUCUUGAGUUGGAAAUGAGUUCCUGCUGGAUGCACUGGGUUUUUUUAUUUUUAUUUUUUGUCUUUUUAAAGCUGUACCCAAGACACAUGGAGGUUCGCAGGCUAGGGGUUGGAUCAGAGCUGCCAGCCUACACCACAGCCACAGCCACAGCAACACAGGAUACGAACCUCAUCUGCGACCUUCACCAUAGCUCACAGCAAUGCCAGAUCCUUAAGCCACUGAACAUGGCCAGGAAUCGAACCCACAUCCUCAUGGACCCUAGUCGGAUUUGUUUCUGCUGCGCUACAAUGGGAACUCCCUCAAUUAAUGCUUUGUCAAUUCCAGAAUAUAUUUAAAAUGCUAUCCAGAGUAUCCAGAGACUCUUUACAAAUGUGUACAGAAAGGUAGCAAUUAAAUGUUUCUCUUGGAAUAAGCCUGGCCUCUGCCUUCUCCCAGGAGCCUUUGCCUAGGGAAGAUGAUUAAAAAUAGAUCUGAGUAGCACUUCCUGCUUGGCAGAUGACUGAUAGCAAAUGCUAGGCCUUGUGGCUGACCUUUCCUUUCUGAAAUCUGCUGUGUUUUCCAUGAUGCUAAUUGAGUCCCUCUCUAGACCUAAUCAAAGAGCUGGUUGCACACACACACACACACGCUUGCUGUCCUGGCUGGGCUCAGUUCAUGGAGCAACUUGAAAAUGCUGGAAUUUGCAUGGAAACACCCACUCUGUGGUCCAACUGGCUGGUCCUUGUUUAAAAACGAAUAAGUUCUGCUUUCAGAUUUGCUGCCCAGUCCUGUUAAGAGUCCCACACCCUCUCCACCACCAUCAACAAGGAAAGAUCAGUGGGUAGGGGAGUAAUAGCAAUACCCUUUGUGCACAAUGGACAAUGCGUCCUGGCAGAGUAGGUGCUCAAGAGAGAUGGGGGUUUUUUGAGAUUUGGCUUCUAGGCAUGGCUCUACCCCCAUCAGCUGUCUUAAAAAACAGAUCAUACCUGAGAUACUGCCAUGAGGUGGUAUCAAACUGUGGAAGAUAAGAGUUCCCGUUGUGGCUCAGCAGGUUAAGAACCCAACAUGGUGUCUCUGAGGAUGCGGAUUUGAUCCCUGGCCUUGGUCAGUGGGUUAAGGAUCCUGUGUUCCCACGAUCUGUGGCUUAGGUCAUGGAUGUGGUUCAGAUCUGGAGUUGCUGUGGCUGUGGCAUAGACCCGCAGCUGUAGCUCCUAUUCAGCCCCUAGCCCAGGAACUUCUGUAUGCCAUGACUGUGGCCAUAAAAAUAAUGUAAAGUUAAAAAAAAAAAAAAAAA
ensembl:lncRNA